GGAACAUAGAACAAAUGGGCAUUCCUAGUAUCUCAACCUAUGUUCCAGGCAAACAUUAUUUCAUCUUUCAAGCCGGUUUGUCCUAGAGUUGCCUAGUUGCUGAGGCUGAAGAAACUGCCAUCUACCACUUAGAACCACGUGGAGGCAUCUCUGAGUCUUCCCUCAUUGCUUUCCCCUGGUCGUGCCUCUGCCAAGACAGCCCCAAAUUUCUUUUACAAAGCCCAUUUUCAAGGACAAGGAGGGAGAAUACCAUGGAAGGAGCAAGUAGCUUUGCUACUUGGAAUGGAAGGAGCAAGUAGCUUUGCUACUUGGAAUGGAAGGAGCAAGUAGCUUUGCUACUUGGAAUGGAAGGAGCAAGUAGCUUUGCUACUUGGAAUGGAAGGAGCAAGUAGCUUUGCUACUUGGAAUGGAAGGAGCAAGUAGCUUUGCUACUUGGAAUGGAAGGAGCAAGUAGCUUUCCUUUAUCCAGAACCCAUAGUUAGUAGCUUUCACUACUAGAAGGCUUGGUUUGAAUUCUGUGUCUGGGAACAAUUGUGUGAGAAGCCUUGUCUCCCUGCUAUUGUGUCAGUAGUGGUUAAGGUGACACUGGAAGAGGGAAAAGGAACCAAGGUACUUCAUACACCCGAAUACCCAUUUCUUUUCUUUUC
rnacentral:lncRNA from 1 species